AUCAUUAGUGAUUAAACUGUUGCCCUCUGUGCUGGCUCUGCAAGUGCACGUCGGUGACUUUCAUUCCAAUACCCUUGUGAACCUUUGGCCUCUUGCUAGCUUCGGCUGGCAGAGGAUUCUACAUACAAACUCGCAUGUAAUGAAACUCUUGUUGUGCACAAGCACUACUAUACAACUUUCAACAACGGAUCUCUUGGCUCUCGCAUCGAUGAAGAACGCAGCGAAAUGCGAUAAGUAAUGUGAAUUGCAGAAUUCAGUGAAUCAUCGAAUCUUUGAACGCACCUUGCACCCUUUGGCAUUCUGAAGGGUAUGCUCGUUUGAGUGUCAUUGUACUCUCACACUUCCGAUCUUGCAUUGGGAGCGGUGGACUUGGGUUUGCUGCCUUACCGUAGCUUACCUCAAAUGUGUUAGUGCAACUCUUGGUUGGACAUAGUACGGCGUGAUAAGUAUCUUCGCCGGUGCCUCGCAAUUGCGAGGGUGGCCGAUCGGGAUGUUGUGCUCCAAACCGUCUUCGGACAAUCUCUGACAACUUGACCUCAAAUCGAGUAAGACUACCCGCUGAACUUAAGCAUAUCAAUAAGCGGAGGAA
rnacentral:rRNA from 1 species